rnacentral:lncRNA from 1 species
UCGUUCACCCUUCAGCCGACUGCCUAACUUCCCAUGACAAAGAGACAGAACUUUCCCAAAACUACAUUCUCAAAGAGGAGACAGAAAUUGAUGAGCUUGAAGAUUCCAACAGCGACCACAUUGUUCAUACUGAACUUUGACCUGCCCCCUAAUGAAAUUAAAAUAUCCUCAUUAAUUAAAGUAAUAUACUAAACUGGGUAAAUGGAAAGUAUAGUAUACAAGUAGAGAUUUCUUGGAGGAGGUUUGAGGUGCCCCUGUUAAAUAUUUUGGGAAUUUACUGAUAUUCCAUACAUAGUUACAGACCAACAGCAGUAGAAAGCAAUUAUGCAGUUGGAAAUUUUAAAAAUUAUAGUACUUCUGUAAAUAUUUUAAUUAUCACAUGUGUCUGUAUUAUUUGGAUGUUUGUCGUAAUUUGAAGUUGGAACAAUUCUAGUGAUUUCUCAUAGCUUAAAGAAACUGGUAUUACAGUGCAGUCUUCUCUUGAGCAAGUUCUUACAGGGAUAAAGAAUUGAUCGAAUACUGUAAAUUGAUCAUGUUGGUUUCAAAUCAAAAGCCUGUACCGUAUGUCAAUCCCCUCUUCAGAGCUCUGCACACAUACUGAAGAGAAUCGCCGACAAGCAAAAUGAUUGGCCUUCCAAAUCCCACAAACAACCAUGAUUUUGUUAUAGAAUACUAGCUAUUUGAGUAGCACUUCGUAAUAGGUUGGAUAAUAUUUUUUUUCGAAUAUAUUUUUGGAUAUAAAAAUGUAAUAUUUUGAAUAUAAAGACAUAGGAAAAGGCUAUAGAGCCCUUGAAGGCUUAGAUGCAGGAAUAAAUGAAUAAGGGGUAUAGUAGUAAUUGAAUAAAGAGAUGAUAAAUAUAAAUAGAAAGAAGAAAAAAGAAGAAGAAGGGAUCUGAAUAUUUUGAGAGAGCAAACCGUGGGAGAGAAGGGAGAAAGAAGAAGAAGAAGAGAAAAGAGGGAAAUUAGAAGGGAAAUAGAAAGGAGUUGAAGAAAUAAGUUUAAAGGUAAGAUUUAGGUUGUUAAAUGUAUAAAUGUAUGUUAAUUGAACUUUAAUUUCAGUUUUGAUGAAUGUUAGGGUUUUGAAAAUUUGUGUUUUGGGUUUGAUUGAUGAGUUAACUUAAAUGUUAUAGGGUUAAUUGUUGAGGGUAUUUGAUUAUUUGGUUGAUUUUGAGAGAUUGAAUUGAAAGACCUAGGUUUUGAUUUUGAGUUAUGAUUUUGUUUGAAUGGUGAAUUUGUGUUAGAAAUGUGGAGAGAACAGUAGGUUUUCUGUUAAAAUUCUGGGUUUGAGGUUGAAGAUGACAAAAUUUCGGUUUGGUCCCUCAAUUUGUGGAAAUUACAGUUUAGUCCCCAAACUCUGGAAAAUUUACAGAUUGGUCCCUGGAGCAUAUUCCGAGAUUCUUAACAGAAUAAAAGAUGAAUUAUGGGCAUAAUUCCUGUAUAGUUAUGAAAUUUUAACACUUUCAAUUUAGUCCUUCAAUUUGACAAAAAUUACAAUUUGACCCUAAAAAUUUGGUAAAAUUCCAGAAUGGUCCCUGGAGUAUAAUGAGAUAUUCUGGACAGAAUUGAGGAUUAAUUAUGGUCAGAAUUUCAGUAUAGUAAUGGAUUUAUGAUAAUUUUAGUUUGGUCCUCCAAAUGGACAAAGUUACAUUUUGACCCUUAAAAAAAUAUGAUAAAUUACAGAUUGGUCCCUAGCUGUAAUAUUAGCUUGUGCAGUUUGGUUUGAUGAAUAAUUGAGGGUUAUUUAGUGAAUUAUUACCAAUUUUAUUAUUUGUUUUAUUAUGGAUUAGAUUUCGGGAAAACCGUUAAAUGUUGGGUUUUUAGGAAAAAUAACUAGUUAGUUCAAAAACAUAUAGGGUUAUGGAAUACACCCUUAGAUAAGUGUAUUAAAUAGGUUAUAUGUUCUUUCAAGUCGUUCUUGAAUAUGUCUCCUUUGUAUUCAGAUAAUCCUGAUAUUCUACCAGCGGGACGUCAGUAGAAUUUUCUUCGGUGUCUGCUUUUGACUUCUGUUUGCUUUCGAGUCAGGUGAGUGGAUAAUUUUCCAUAUGCAUGAGAAAUAUUAUAAAUAUUUGAUUUGUUAAUAUGAAUUGGAUCAUGCUUCUUGAUAAUAUAUAUGUUGAUUAUUAUCCUUGUUAUGAUAAGCAUGAUCAAUUGUUGAAUCCGAAUUAUUGAUAUGAACCAGUAUAUAUAUUCUGAAUUGACUUCUGAAUUGAUAGCUCCUCAUUUGAUUGAUGUCAUGAGUUGAGCCUUGAGAUAUGAAUAUGUCUGUUUGAUUAUGAUUAUGAAACUAUGGUAUGUCAAUCAAAAUACCCAUGCUAACAGGGUAGUGUUAGUCUUUGUGCACAUCGUAUCUGAACCCUAGUUGGUCGGGGGAGUCACCAACCUGUGUGGACUGAUCAUUCCACAGUACGGAGCCUCAUGCUCAUUGCAUUUUGAUUUUCUGAUAAGUUUUACCAUAUGAUCUUCUUGUUAUGGCCUAUUUGAGAAACCUUCCUAUAAAAACCUAGAGCCAUAAUUGUAUAUAUAUUCUCAUUGUUGUAUUACCUCGUGUGUGUGUAUUGAACGUUAUCUACUCACUGAGUUGUUGAACUCACCCUCUCAUUAUUUACCUUUUCAGGCUUAUAGCUUGAUAGUAGGUCACUUUUGUUGGAUCUUCAGAACCUGCUUUUUUGGUAGUAAUUUAUACCUUUCUUUAUAUCUAGUUAGGGCUCCAAAACUGUGAAAUUAUAUGAACUCUUGUAUUAAGACAAUCAAAUUAUAUUAUGAAGUUAAUUUUGUUACUAAAACUGCGUUGAACUCUGAUUGAGUUAGGAGAAGUUUGUGUGUAAGUUUGGGUUCGCAUAGGUAUGGAACCUUGGAGAGGAACCUUGCCUAUGUACCGGUAAUGGAUCCGGGAUUUGAGUCGUGACAAACUUGGUAUCACAGCUUUAGGUUAAAGAAACAAUAGUAUAGUUAAUUUCAUAAUAAGUGGAGCAUUAGGAUCCGUAUUGUCUUGUUUGUUGGCUUUGAAAUUUUGAAUUCUCAUCAAGCAUGUCUUCUUCCUUGUGAUAUAUAUGUUUUCCUAUAAUUCUGUGAUAAUUAUCAUGCUAUUGUUCUAGCAUGACUUGAGUGCUCUCACUUUUAUUUUAGGAAAUGCCGAGGAAUAAACGAAUAGCUGAUACUAUUAGAUUAGAGGAUGAUCAGGAUGAUGUCCUUAUUGUGCAGUUUAGAAAUGCAAGGUAUAGGAGUAGGGGAAAUACAUCCACACCUAAACAUAUUCUUAUUGUUUGCUCUUUUGAAGCAAAAAUUUUGUUUGAUACUAGUGCAACCCAUUCAUUUGUGUCCCCAUAUUUUGCCAUAAGGUUAGAUAAACAACCAACCUUGUUAAAAUCCUCAAUUUCAGUCUCCACUUCCUUAGAUGAAUUAAUAUUAGUGAAGUAUGUGUAUCUAGAUUGUGAAAUAGAGAUUGGAGAUAAGAUCUUUAUGGGAGACUUAAAUGUCUUAGAUAUGGUUGAUUUUGAUGUGAUUUUGGGAAUGGAUUGGUUGGCAAAGCAUAGGGCUUCGGUAAAUUGUUGGGGUAAGAAAAUAAUGUUUGAUCUAGAUGAAGAAGUUGAGUUGGUAUUUCAAGGAGAUAAGAUUGGGUCUCCAUCAAUUAUGUUAUUGGCUAUCUCGAGGAAAAUGGCUCGAAAAGGGGUACAAUACUACCUAGCAUAUAGAAUGGCACCAGCAGAAUUGAGGGAGCUAAAGGAGCAACUGCAGGAUUUGUUGGAUAAAAAGUUCAUCCGACCGAGUGUGUCCCCUUGGGGAGCCCUAGUGUUGUUUGUGAAGAAGAAAGAUGGGUCAUUGAGGUUGUGUAUAGAUUAUAGGCAACUGAAUCGGGUGACAGUUCGAAAUAGAUAUCCACUCCUCAUAUGGAUGAUUUGUUUGACCAAUUGCAGGGAGCUCAAUUCUUUUCUAAGAUUGAUCUUCGAUUUGGGUAUCAUCAGUUGAGGAUUAGGGAGGCAGACAUUUUAAAGACAGCUUUUAGAACUCGAUAUGGUCAUUAUGAGUUCUUAGUGAUGUCUUUUGGGUUCACGAAUGCGCCAACACCUUUUAUGGAUUUGAUGAAUAGAGUGUUUGGACAGUUUAUUGAUCGAUUUGUGAUAGUUUUUAUUGAUGAUAUUUUGGUGUAUUCGAGGUCUAGAGAGGAGCAUGAGCAGCACUUGAGAAUGGUGCUUCAAACUCUACGAGAUCAUCAGUUGUAUGACAAGUUCUCAAAGAGUGAGUUUUGGUUGGAGAAUGUAGAAUUUCUUGGGCACGUAGUGUCAAGGAAUGGGAUUGAGGUUGAUCCUCAAAAGAUUGAAGCAGUUAAGCAGUGGCUUAGGCCUACUUCGGCGACAGAGAUUAGAAGUUUUUUAGGUUUGGCCGGCUACUAUCGGAGGUUUGUGGAGAACUUUUCUCGGAUUUCUACACCAUUGACUAAGUUAACGCAGAAAAAUGUUAAGUUUCAGUGGUUUGAAGCUUGUGAGAAAAGUUUCUUAGAGUUGAAAGAGAGAUUGACUACAACGCCUAUUCUAGCAGUACCACCAGGUUCUGGUGGUUACACAGUGUAUUGUGAUGCUUCGAGAGUGGGGUUAGGAUGUGUUCUAAUGCAGCAUGGCAAGGUUAUUGCUUAUGCUUCACGGCAGCUGAAGAAGCAUGAACAUAACUAUCCUACACAUGAUUUAGAGAUGGCGGCUGUAAUUUUUGCCUUGAAGAUUUGGGGGCACUACUUGUAUGGUGAAACUUGUGAGAUAUUCAGAGAUCACAAGAGUUUGAAGUACAUCUUUCAGCAGAGGGAUCUAAAUCUGAGGCAGAGGGGAUGGAUGGAACUGCUGAAGAAUUAUGAUUGUACCAUACAGUACCACCCGGGUAAGGCAAAUGUAGUUGCCGAUGCUUUGAGUAGAAAAUCAUCGGGAAGAUUAGCUCAUAUUCAGGAGGUACGAAGACCUUUGAUUAGGGAGCUGCAUGAGUUAGUAGAUGAAGGAGUCAGAUUUGAUCUUAGUGAAGCUGGAGCAAUUAUUGCUCAUUUUCAGGUUAAGUCAAAUUUAUUUGAUACGAUAAAAGCAGUUCAGAAGAAAGAUAAUUCACUACUCAGGAUCAGAAAUGAGGUUGAGCAGGGUAAGGCUGUAGGUUUUGUGAUAGGUGAUGAUGAUGUGCUGAGAUAUAGAGAUAGGUUCUAUGUACCUGAUGUAGAUGAUCUGAGGAGAGAAUUGAUGGUAGAGGCACAUCAGACGGUUUACACAAUGCAUCUAGGUUCCACCAAGAUGUAUAAAGACCUUAAGGUGUGUUAUUGGUGGAAUAGGAUGAAGGCUGAUGUAGCAGACUUUGUUUCUAGGUGUUUGACUUGUCAGAGGGUAAAAGGUGAACACCAGAAACCUCUUGGAUUGUUGCAACCAUUGUUGAUUCCAGAAUGGAAGUGGAAAAUGAUCACAAUGGACUUUAUGACAGGAUUGCCUAGGAGUCAGGAGGGUUAUGAUUCGAUAUGGGCGAUUGUUGACAGGUUGACAAAAUCAGCCCAUUUUCUGCCAGUUAAGAUUACUUAUGGAUAUGCAAAGUUAGCGGAAUUGUUUAUUAGUGAGAUUGUACGGUUGCAUGGAGUGCCAAUCUCGAUAGUGUCUGAUAGAGGUCCACAAUUUACAUCGCGGUUUUGGGUGAAAUUCCAAGAAGCUAUGGGUACUAAAGUGCAGUUGAGUACAGCUUUUCACCCUCAGACUGAUGGUCAGUCUGAGAGGACUAUUCAGAUCUUAGAUAUGUUAAGGGCUUGUGUUAUGGAUUUUGGAGUUGGUUGGAGUAAGUUCCUACCAUUAGUGGAAUUUGCUUACAACAACAGUUAUCAGGCUAGCAUAGAAAUGGCACCUUAUGAGGCUUUGUAUGGUCGGAAGUGUAGAUCGCUGGUUUGUUGGUUUGAGGUUGGUGAGAAGAGGCUAAUGGGACCAGAGUUGAUUCAGAUUACCUCAGAGAAGAUAGAGGUAAUUAGAAAGAAGCUUCAAACAGCUCAGAGUAGACAAAAGAGUUACGCAGAUAGAAGAAUGCGUGACUUAGAGUUUUCAAUGGGUGAUUGUGUGUUCUUAAAAGUAUCACUGACUAAAAGAGUAUUCAAGUUUGGGAAGAAAGGCAAGUUGAGUCAUUGAUUCAUUGGACCGUAUGAGAUUAUAGAGAGAGAUGAGGCAGUUGCUUAUAGGUUAGUAUUACCACCAAACUUGUCUACUAUCCAUCCGGUAUUUCAUGUUUCCAUGCUAAGGAAGUAUAUGACAGAUUCAUCGCAUGUGUUAGAAGUUCAUCCUGUUGAAUUGAGGGAUGAUAUGGUUUAUGAGGUGCAACCAGAAGCUAUAGUCGACCGACAAGUGAGGAAGCUUAGGUCGAAGGAUAUAGCUUCAGAGAAAGUGAAAUGGAAAGGUCAUUUAUGUGAGGAAGCGACAUGGGAGCUCGAGGAUAAGAUGCGUGAGGAGUAUCCUCAUCUUUUCGAUAAUCUCGGUAAGUAUUCAAUCUUUUCUAUUAAGUUUCGAGGACGAAACUUUUAUAAGUUGGGGAGAUUGUAAUGUUUUGAAUUAAAGAGUGGGUAUAAAUGAAUGAGGGGUAGUGUGGUAAUUAGAUAAACAUAAUAAAUAUAAAUAGAAAAAAAAAGACAUAGUAAAAGGCUAUAGAGCCCUUGAAGGCUUAGAUGCAAGAAUAAAUGAAUGAGGGGUAUAGUAGUAAUUGAAUAAAGAGAUGAUAAAUAUAAAUAGAAAGAAGAAAAAAGAAGAAGAAGAUAUCUAAAUAUUUUGAGAGAGCAAACCGUGGGAGAGAAGGGAGAAAGAAGAAGAAGAAGAGAAAAGAGGGAAAUUAGAAGGGAAAUAGAAAGGAGUUGAAGAAAUAAGUUUAAAGGUAAGAUUUAGGUUGUUAAAUGUAUAAAUGUAUGUUAAUUGAACUUUAAUUUCAGUUUUGAUGAAUGUUAGGGUUUUGAAAAUUUGUGUUUUGGGUUUGAUUGAUGAGUUAACUUAAAUGUUAUAGGGUUAAUUGUUGAGGGUAUUUGAUUAUUUGGUUGAUUUUGAGAGAUUGAAUUGAAAGACCUAGGUUUUGAUUUUGAGUUAUGAUUUUGUUUGAAUGGUGAAUUUGUGUUAGAAAUGUGGAGAGAACAGUAGGUUUUCUGUUAAAAUUCUGGGUUUGAGGUUGAAGAUGACAAAAUUUCGGUUUGGUCCCUCAAUUUGUGGAAAUUACAGUUUAGUCCCCAAACUCUGGAAAAUUUACAGAUUGGUCCCUGGAGCAUAUUCCGAGAUUCUUAACAGAAUAAAAGAUGAAUUAUGGGCAUAAUUCCUGUAUAGUUAUGAAAUUUUAACACUUUCAAUUUAGUCCUUCAAUUUGACCCUAAAAAUUUGGUAAAAUUCCAGAAUGGUCCCUGGAGUAUAAUGAGAUAUUCUGGACAGAAUUGAGGAUUAAUUAUGGUCAGAAUUUCAGUAGAGUAAUGGAUUUAUGACAAUUUUAGUUUGGUCCUCCAAAUGGACAAAGUUACAUUUUGACCCUUAAAAAAAUAUGAUAAAUUACAGAUUGGUCCCUAGCUGUAAUAUUAGCUUGUGCAGUUUGGUUUGAUGAAUAAUUGAGGGUUAUUUAGUGAAUUAUUACCAAUUUUAUUAUUUGUUUUAUUAUGGAUUAGAUUUCGGGAAAACCGUUAAAUGUUGGGUUUUUAGGAAAAAUAACUAGUUAGUUCAAAAACAUAUAGGGUUAUGGAAUACACAAUUAGAUCCCUCUUCUCUUUUUUUUCUUCUAUUUAUAUUUAUUAUGUUUAUCUAAUUACCACACUACCCCUCAUUCAUUUAUACCCACUCUUUAAGCCUUCAAGGGCUUUACUGCCUUUUCCUAACUCUUUUAAUUCAAAACAUUACAAUCUCCCCACCUUAUAAAAGUUUCGUCUUUGAAACUUAAUAGAAAAGAUUGAAUACUUAACGAGAUUAUCGAAAAGAUGAGGAUACUCCUCACGCAUCUUAUCCUCGAGCUCCCAGGUCAUUUCCUCACGUGAAUGACCUUUCCAUUUCACUUUCACUGAAGCUAUAUCCUUCGACCUAAGCUUCCUCACUUGUCGGUCGACUAUAGCUUUCGGUUGCACCUCAUAAACCAUAUCAUCCCUCAAUUCAACAGGAUGAACUUCUAACACAUGCGAUGGAUCUGUCAUAUACUUCCUUAGCAUGGAAACAUGAAAUACCGGAUGGAUAGCAGACAAGUUUGGUGGUAAUACUAACCUAUAAGCAACUGCCUCAUCUCUCUCUAUAAUCUCAUACGGUCCAAUGAAUCGAUGACUCAACUUGCCUUUCUUCCCAAACUUGAAUACUCUUUUAGUCAGUGAUACUUUUAAGAACACACAAUCACCCAUUGAAAACUCUAAGUCACGCAUUCUUCUAUCUGCGUAACUCUUUUGUCUACUCUGAGCUGUUUGAAGCUUCUUUCUAAUUACCUCUAUCUUCUCUGAGGUAAUCUGAAUCAACUCUGGUCCCAUUAGCCUCUUCUCACCAACCUCAAACCAACAAACCAGCGAUCUACACUUCCGACCAUACAAAGCCUCAUAAGGUGCCAUUUCUAUGCUAGCCUGAUAACUGUUGUUGUAAGCAAAUUCCACUAAUGGUAGGAACUUACUCCAACCAACUCCAAAAUCCAUAACACAAGCCCUUAACAUAUCCUUCAAGAUCUGAAUAGUCCUCUCAGACUGACCAUCGGUCUGAGGGUGAAAAGUUGUACUUAACUGCACUUUAGUACCCAUAGCUUCUUGGAAUUUCACCAAAAACCGCGAUGUAAACUGUGGACCUCUAUCAGACACUAUCGAGAUUGGCACUCCAUGCAAUCGUACAAUCUCACUAAUAAACAAUUCCGCCAACUUUGCAUAUCCAUAAGUAAUCUAACUGGCAGAAAAUAGGUUGAUUUUGUCAACCUGUCAACAAUCAUCCAUAUCGAAUCAUAACCCUCCUGACUUCUAGGCAAUCCUGUCACAAAGUCCAUUGUGAUCCUUUCCCACUUCCAUUCUGGAAUCAACAAUGGUUGCAACAAUCCAAGAGGUUUCUGGUGUUCACCCUUUACCCUCUGACAGGUCAAACACCUAGAAACAAAGUCUGCUACAUCAGCCUUCAUCCUAUUCCACCAAUAACACACCUUAAGGUCUUUAUACAUCUUGGUGGAACCUAGAUGCAUUGUGUAAACUGUCUGAUGUGCCUUUACCAUCAAUUCUCUCCUCAGAUCAUCUACAUCAGGUACACAAGGCCUAUCCCUAUAUCUCAGCACAUCAUCAUCACCUAUCACAAAACCUGCAGCCUUACCCUGCUCAACCUCAUUUCUGAUCCUGAGUAGUGAAUCAUCUUUAUUCUGAGCUGCUUUUAUCUUAUCAAACAAAUUUGACUUAACCUGAAAUUUGACUCCUUCAUCCACAAACUCAUGCAACUUAACAUUUUUCUGCGUUAACUUAGUCAAUGGUGCAGAAAUCCGAGAAAAGUUCUCCACAAACCUCCGAUAGUAGCCGGCCAAACCUAAGAAACUUCUAAUCUCUGUCGCCGAAGUAGGCCUAAGCCACUGCUUAACUGCUUCAAUCUUUUGAGGAUCAACCUCAAUCUCAUUCCUUGACACUACGUGCCCAAGAAAUGCUACACUCUCCAACCAAAACUCACUCUUUGAGAACUUGCCAUACAACUGAUGAUCUCGUAGAGUUUGAAGCACCAUUCUCAAGUGCUGCUCAUGCUCCUCUCUAGACCUCGAAUACACCAAAAUAUCAUCAAUAAAAACUAUCACAAAUCGAUCAAUAAACUGUCCAAACACUCUAUUCAUCAAAUCCAUAAAAGGUGUUGGCGCAUUCGUGAACCCAAAAGACAUCACUAAGAACUCAUAAUGACUAUAUCGAGUUCUAAAAGCUGUCUUUAAAAUGUCUGCCUCCCUAAUCCUCAACUGAUGAUACCCAAAUCGAAAAUCAAUCUUAGAAAAGAAUUGAGCUCCUUGCAAUUGGUCAAAUAAAUCAUCUAUACGAGGGAGUGGAUAUCUAUUUCGAACUGUCACCCGAUUCAGUUGCCUAUAAUCUAUACACAACCUUAAUGACCCAUCUUUCUUCUUCACAAACAACACUAGGGCUCCCCAAGGGGACACACUCGGUCGGAUGAACUUUUUAUCCAACAAAUCCUGCAGUUGCUCCUUUAGCUCCCUCAAUUCUGCUGGCGCCAUUCUUUAUGCUAGGUAGCAUUGUACCCCUUUUCGAGCCAUUUUCCUCGAGAUAGCCAACAACAUAAUUGAUGGAGACCCAAUCUUAUCUCCUUGAAAUACCAACCCAACUUCUUCAUCUAGAUCAAACAUUAUUUUCUUACCCCAACAAUUUACCGAAGCCAUUUAAGUCUCCCAUAAAGAUCUUAUCUCCAAUCUCUAUUUCACAAUCCAGAUACACAUACUUUACUAAUAUUAAUUCAUCUAAGGGAGUGGAGACUGAAAUUGAGGAUUUUAACAAGGUUGGUUGUUUAUCUAAUCUCAUGAAAAAAAAAUGUAAGGACAGUAACAAAUGAGUUGCACCCAUAUUAAAUAAUAUUUUUGCUUCAAAAGAUCGAACAAUAAGAAUAUGUUGAGGUGCGGAUGUACUGCCCCACCUCUUAUACCUUGCAUUUCUAAACUACACAAUAGAGGCAUCAUCUUUAUUGUCAUUUACUCUAAUAGUACCAAAGAAAAAUGUGAAUUUGACGGGUUGUUUUCUAACAAUUAAUCAUACAAAUUAAUAAAUAAAAUUCACAAAAGAGAUUAGCCUAUUCCUCGAAUUCACAAUUCAAUUAGAUGCGAAAUCUAACCUCCUCCUUUUCGUACUUGUAGAAUAAUAGUUUUUUGUUGAAAUCCUUUUUAUAUGUAUGUUCCUCGGCAUAUCCUCUAAGAAAUGAGAGCAUUUAAGUCAUGCUAGAACAAUAACAUGAUAAUUAUCACAUAAUUAUAGGAAAUCAUAUCUAUCACAAGGAAGAAGACAUGCUUGAUGAGAAUUCAAAAUUUCAAAAACAACAAACAAAACAAUACGGAUCCUAAUGCUCUACUUCUUACGAAAUUAAUUAUAUUAUUGUUUCUUUAACCUAAAGCUCUGAUACCAAGUUUGUCACGACCCGAUUCCCGGAUCCAUUACCGGCACAUAAGCAAGGUUCCCCUCCAAGGUUCCAUACCUAUGCGAACCCAAACUUAUAUACAAACUUAUCUAUUAAAUAACUCAAUCAGAGUUCAACGAAGCAAUAACAACAAAACUAACUUUAUAAUAUAAUUCGAUUGUCUUAAUACAAGAGUUCAUAUAAAUUUAGAGUUUGGGAGCACUAACUAGACAUAAAGGGAAAUGUAUAAAUUACAACAAAAAGAACAAGUUCUGAAGGUCCAAUAAAAGUGACAUGCUAUCAAGCUAUAAGCCUGAAAAGGAUAAAUAAUGAGAGGGUGAGUUCAACAACUCAGUGAGUAGAUAAUGUUCAAUAUACACAACGAGAUAAUAUAAUAAUGAGAAUAUAUAUACAAUUAUGGCUCUAGGUUCUUAUAUGAAGGUUUCUCAAAUAGGCCAUAACAAGAAAAUCAGAAGGUAAAGCUCGUCAGAAAAUCAAAAUGCAAUGAGCAUGAGGCUCCGUACUGUGGGAUGAUCAGUCCACACAGGUUGGUGACUCCCCCGACCAACUAGGGUUCAGAUACGAUGUGCAUAAAGACUAACACUACCCUGUUAGCAUGGGUAUUCUGACUGGCAUACCAUAGGUUCAUAAUCAUAAUCAAACAGACAUAUUCAUAUCUCAAGGCUCAACUCAUGACAUCAAUCAAAUGAGGAGCUAUCAAUUCAAAAUAUAUACUGGUUCAUAUCAAGAAUUCAAAUUCAACAAUUAAUCAUGCUUUAUCAAAACAAGGAUAAUAAUCAACAUAUAUAUUAUCAAGAAGCAUGAUCCAAUUCAUAUUAACAAAUCAAAUAUUUAUAAUAUUUCUCAUGCAUAUGGAAAAUUAUCCACUCACCAAACUCGAAAGCAAACAGAAGUCAAAAGCAGAUACCAAAGGAAAUCCUAAUGGCGUCCCGCCGGUAGAAUAUCAGGAUUAUCUAAAUACAAAGGAGACAUAUUCAAGAAUGACUCAAAAGAACAUAUAACCUAUUUAAUACACUUAUCUAAAGGUAUAUUCCAUAACUCUAUAUGUUUUUGAACUAAAUUAGUUAUCUUCCUAAAAACCCAAAAUUAAACGGUUUUCCCGAAAUCUAAUCCAUAAUAAAACAAAUAAUAAAAUUGGUAAUAAUUCACUAAAUAACCCACAAUUAUUCAUCAAACCAAUCUGCAAAAGCUAAUAUUACAGCUAGGGACCAAUCUGUAAUUUAUCAUAUUUUUAAGGGUCAAAUUGUAACUUUGUCAAAUUGGAGGACCAAACUAAAAUUGUCAUAAAUCCAUGACUAUACUGAAAUUAUGACCAUAAUUAAUCAUCAUUUCUGUCCAGAAUAUCUCAUUAUGCUCUAGGGACCAUUCUGGAACUUUACCAAAUUUUUAGGGUCAAAUGGUAAUUUUUAUCAAAUUGAAGGACUAAAUUGAAAGUGUUAAAAUUUCAUAACUAUACAGGAUUCUGCCCAUAAUUCAUCUUUUAUUCUAUUCAGAAUCUCGGAAUAGGCUCCAGGGACCAAUCUGUAAAUUUUCCAAAGUUUGGGGACUAAACUAUAAUUUCCACAAAUUGAGGGACCAAUUUGAAUUUUUGUCAUCUUCAACCUUCAACCCAGAAUUUCAACAGAAAACCCACUGUUCUUUCCUGAUUUCUAACACAAAUUCACCAUUCAAACAAAAUCAUAACUCAAAAUCAUCAUAAUCUUCCAUAAUCAACUAAAUAAUCAAUUACCCACAACAAUCAACCCCAUAACAUUCAAUUUAAUUCAUCAAUUAAACUCAAAACAUAAAUUUUCAAAACCCUAACAUUCAUCAAAAUUGAAAUUAAAGUUCAAUUAACAUAUAUUUAUACAUUUAACAACCUAAAUCUUACCUUUAAACUUAUUUCUUCAAUACCUUUCUAUUUCCCUUCUAAUUUCCCUCUUUUCUCUUCUUCUUCUUCUUUCUCCCUUCUCUCUCACGGUUUGCU